UAAUACAUGCAAGUCGUACGCUUCUUUUUCCACCGGAGCUUGCUCCACCGGAAAAAGAAGAGUGGCGAACGGGUGAGUAACACGUGGGUAACCUGCCCAUCAGAAGGGGAUAACACUUGGAAACAGGUGCUAAUACCGUAUAACAAUCGAAACCGCAUGGUUUUGAUUUGAAAGGCGCUUUCGGGUGUCGCUGAUGGAUGGACCCGCGGUGCAUUAGCUAGUUGGUGAGGUAACGGCUCACCAAGGCCACGAUGCAUAGCCGACCUGAGAGGGUGAUCGGCCACAUUGGGACUGAGACACGGCCCAAACUCCUACGGGAGGCAGCAGUAGGGAAUCUUCGGCAAUGGACGAAAGUCUGACCGAGCAACGCCGCGUGAGUGAAGAAGGUUUUCGGAUCGUAAAACUCUGUUGUUAGAGAAGAACAAGGAUGAGAGUAACUGUUCAUCCCUUGACGGUAUCUAACCAGAAAGCCACGGCUAACUACGUGCCAGCAGCCGCGGUAAUACGUAGGUGGCAAGCGUUGUCCGGAUUUAUUGGGCGUAAAGCGAGCGCAGGCGGUUUCUUAAGUCUGAUGUGAAAGCCCCCGGCUCAACCGGGGAGGGUCAUUGGAAACUGGGAGACUUGAGUGCAGAAGAGGAGAGUGGAAUUCCAUGUGUAGCGGUGAAAUGCGUAGAUAUAUGGAGGAACACCAGUGGCGAAGGCGGCUCUCUGGUCUGUAACUGACGCUGAGGCUCGAAAGCGUGGGGAGCAAACAGGAUUAGAUACCCUGGUAGUCCACGCCGUAAACGAUGAGUGCUAAGUGUUGGAGGGUUUCCGCCCUUCAGUGCUGCAGCUAACGCAUUAAGCACUCCGCCUGGGGAGUACGACCGCAAGGUUGAAACUCAAAGGAAUUGACGGGGGCCCGCACAAGCGGUGGAGCAUGUGGUUUAAUUCGAAGCAACGCGAAGAACCUUACCAGGUCUUGACAUCCUUUGACCACUCUAGAGAUAGAGCUUCCCCUUCGGGGG
rnacentral:rRNA from 1 species